rnacentral:ribozyme from 1 species
GAGAAAAAGGGUUCUGUAAAAGGGUUGGAUCCGACGCCUCUAGAAGGCUACUAUAGGCUCUCCUUCUCAACUCCUACUCAAUACGUCCACGUCGUGCAGAACGGUAACUUGU